rnacentral:rRNA from 1 species
GCCAGCGGCUCUAUCACCUGGCCUCUCACAACUUGGCAGCCCACUGAAGCUCAGCAGGUGUGAGCCCGGUCAGUACCUGGAUGGGAGACCUCCUGGGAAAGCUAAGGCUGCUGCUGGAA